rnacentral:rRNA from 1 species
UCUAACGGGCCAUACCACCCUGAACGCGCCCGAUCUCGUCUGAUCUCGGAAGCUAAGCAGGGUCGGGCCCGGUUAGUACUUGGAUGGGAGACCGCCUGGGAAUACCGGGUGCUGUAGGCU